GUGGCUGCAAGGGAUGGGAUUUCUAUAUUCACUGUUCUACUCUAUCAGUAAAUGAAGAGAUGCUAUUACCAGUUAAUUCAAUGAAGUUUUAUUUUUAUAGCACCAAAUCACACAACUCACAACUUAAGGCACUUUUUACUCUUAAGAUAAAAACCUUUUAAUAAUAUAAAGAAGACCACAACAAUCAGUUGAGCAAGCACUUGGCGACAGUGGGAAGGAAAAACUCCCUUUUAACAGGAAGAAACCUCCAGCAGAACCAAUGCAGCGUGGUGCAUAAAUAGUGAGUGAGAGUGUGUGUUGCUCAGGAAUAUGUUGUGUCCACAUCUUGUGACUAAACCUGUUGUGUUUAAUCACAUUAAUGAUGGGGUCUAUAGGGUAAGUGCCUGGAGGAUAACACAGAAUGCACAUUGUGUUGUGUAUACUGAACCUUUUGAAAGGCUGAUGAUGUUUGUUGUUAUUUGGUGUCGUAUAAGCCCAGAGGACACAUCAGUCACUCUCACAUCUGCAGGUAGAUUCUCAUGGUGUAACUGGGAGAUCGUUUAUUCGUAAUCAAUAUGUAUCGUGUAUUUUGGUUGAUGUGGUUAGAAAAUGUUUUGAUAAAAUAAUUUGAACAAGCCUUAUUGAAA